GUAGGUGAACCUGCGGAAGGAUCAUUAACACGUAUCCAACGUUAAACAACCCUGUGAACUUUCAGACGCUCUCGUAGCCCAGGAGGAACAGCAAUCCCGGUAAAUCAAUUGGCGGAAAGUUUUUGAUUCGAGACCUCUGUCCAAAAGGUGUCAAGUUACGAUCGAGCUAGGAGCAGUGGCAUGGUUUCCCUGAGUGGGAUAACGCAUCGCGGUUGCUAGAGGUCGAUCACCGGCCGGCAGACAUGUCACAGGGCUUUAUGCCCCCCAUUCACACCUUGCCUUCUUUAGCCCCGCGGAAACGCCGGGACCAAAAAACGAACAACUGUUAACAAUGGAUAUCUUGGUUCUC
rnacentral:misc_RNA from 1 species